GGUCUGUCGGAGGUUUCUUUUGUUUUGGGGAGUUUUUCCUCCCCACUGUCGCCAAGUGCUGCUCAAGGGGGUUUUCUCUAUUAUACUAGAUAAAUUGCCCUCAGACGAUUGAUGUUGUGAUUUCACGUUAUAAGAACUGAACUGAACUGAAUUUAACUGGUUAUCACAGCUCAGCUGUCUAGUUGCUGUAUUUUCCCUCUAGGCUGAAUCAACAUUGCAGUGGAGCAACCAAGUUGCCAUGUUGCUUUCCAUUCUGCUCUCUAGUUGCUGUGGCUCACGUUGCUCUAGAGGCUGUCAUCUGUCAGACUGAAGCAUCAACAGUUUAUUUACCAGUUGCUGGAGGCGCAGUUACCUUACAUGCUGCUCGUUUGGUGGCUGUUUGCUGGAGGUCUGCAGUCCAUGUCAGACUGAAGCAACACUGCAGUCAGGUUGCUGUGGAUGUAGUUGUGGCUCGGUCCUGUCAGGCUGAAGCAAUACUGCGGUGGCAGAAUGUUAAUGCACUGGUUACUGUAGUUACCCGCCGUCGGUCUCGUUAACGGUCCGUGGUCAUGUCGCGCCUCUCACUUACUUCAACAGAAAACUAACGGGCUAACGGAGCUCCGUCAGUUGUCGGUCUGUUGCUGGUCGUUGUCCGGGGCUGGUCUCGUCGUCGGUGACUCACCGUCUCCUCCGUCUUACUGAAGCGCGCGGCCGGCGGCGGGAGCCCGGGUUACCAUGACAACUGGCCCGCAGCAGGAUGACGGGACCGACCAACUGAUGAUCAGCAGUAGAGAGGAUCGAUAACCUGUUUGUUUCAGAUUCGCCUGCAACACGAAAUAUAAGAACAGACCUGACUAAGAAGGGAAGGAACAGAAAACAUAUCAGUGAAAGCUGCUGAUGAGGGUCCCUGAACGCACCGUCACGUAUGGUCUGACUUGGGGAUCUGGCUCAGACUGGAGUCCUUCCUGGUCUCAGUGUGAGCAGAGACAGAGACGGAUGUUAUAUGGGCCAAACUUGUUUACCAGUGAUGCUGUCAACAUCGAGCACUUUGAUGUCGACAGCUUGUGGAACUACAGUCACACACAUGACAAAGAACCUCCCACCCCACUGUGUUAUUUAUCUGUGUUCAGGAUGUAAUUUAAUUAGUAUUUGCUCUGUGCCCAUCCAGUAGGCUACAUAUUCUUAUGACUUCACUGCCCCAUUUAAAACAUUUGUUAGAAAGGUAAUCCAGACUAAAUGUAAUAAGUUACAUUACUUUAAUGAGGUAAUUAAAAUAGUUACUUGUUACAUUUUUUACAGGAUUAGUAAUCUGUCACUUAUUACAUUCCAGAAGUAACCUUCCCAACACUGGUUAAAAGAGCACAAAAACAUGAAAAUGUACAAAUGUAAAAGGGGGAAAACGUGAAAAAGAAAUGAAAUCAUUAAAUUAUAAACAUAGAAAAUGAAAUGGAGUUGAGAUGGCUUUAAAGGUUUUUAGAUUCUACCGAAACAAGACGACAGAGAAACCUUCUGCAAGUGGGACCAAAUGGUAAAUGUGAGGUGAACUGAAUGAUCAAUAAAUGAGACAAUAUCUCAGAUUUUGUAUGAAUUCGCUGCACUUUGUCAAGUUUUAAUAUGAAUAUCUUUCACUUUAUUUGAUUAGAAAACUUGACUGGUGUUGGUGAACGUUCACAGAGUCUGAGAUGCCUGCUCACCAACUGUCACAUAAAGACUGAAUGACUAAAGUAAAAACACCAAUGACAUAAGAUUUAUUACAAGACUGAUGCUGGCGAUACUUUCCACUGCUGUCACAUUCAUGUAGUGCAGUAAAAAGUCCAGCACUUCCCUCUGAAAUGUAGUACAAACUAACAUAGCAUUGAAACACACAAGUAAUGCACAAAUAAGCCUACCUCAAAAUAAGCUACAGUACUUGAGUAAAUAUACAUAGGAACUCUUUGUGAUGUUGAAGCUGAGUGAAACUAUGAGGCCUGUGAAAGCUGCAAGAUUAAAGCCACAUGCUGACUUGUCAUAUGGUGAAGGACAUACAGGCUGAAGUCUCUUUAGAAAGUAGGAGAUUUAUGUCACCACACCAGUGUCAGGGGAAGAGUGAUUAGAGAUCUGACUGGGUUUGGAAAGAAGAAUGAAUUAUUUACUUACAUGGGGAGAGGACUGUUUAUUCAAAAUAAGAAAUACGGAUAUCAGGCUGAAAAUCACAGGGAAGAGUUAUAAGUCUGUUGUCCACAGUUACAUCAGACAUUCAGACAUGAGCAGAGAGGGAGCAACAUGCAGGACCCUGUCACAACUGGUGUUGUUAUGGGUCUUAAGGUUUCUGCUGAAUAUUCAAAGAUGUAUUUAUAAAACCUGAGAGGAACAAAGGAUGUGUGGAGAAAACUAGAAGAGGUAUUUCUGAUAGCUGGGAGUGUGUUUGAUGAUAGGAUGAAGGAUCACUUAGAAAAUAUUCAGAAAAUGUACAAAAGGGGACAAAUGCCACAGAAGAAUGCAACGGGCUCAACACCUGGAAGACUGUGCAGCUGCACCUUUACACAUUGAAUGGGAGACUCAUUUGUAUAUUUU